rnacentral:lncRNA from 1 species
CGGGUCAUGAUUCUCCCAGAAGACCUUGAGCAGUUUCUCAAAGCUGAUGUUUUCUGGCUGAUAUACCACUCGUACAACCUCUGUGUGGCCAGUUCUACCUGAACAGACUUCUUUGUAGGUAGGAUUCGGAGUAUACCCUCCUGCGUAACCCACGUGAGUGGAGUAGACUCCUUUCUGUCUCCAAAACUUCCUCUCAGCUCCC